GUUCAACCCUGGGGUGGAAAUUUCAACCUUGCUAGCUGAAGCAGGGUUGAAAUUUCAACCCCGGGGUUGAAC
rnacentral:miRNA from 1 species